UAGGGAAUCUUCGGCAAUGGACGGAAGUCUGACCGAGCAACGCCGCGUGAGUGAAGAAGGUUUUCGGAUCGUAAAGCCCUGUUGUUAGAGAAGAACGUUGGUAGGAGUGGAAAAUCUACCAAGUGACGGUAACUAACCAGAAAGGGACGGCUAACUACGUGCCAGCAGCCGCGGUAAUACGUAGGUCCCGAGCGUUGUCCGGAUUUAUUGGGCGUAAAGCGAGCGCAGGCGGUUCUUUAAGUCUGAAGUUAAAGGCAGUGGCUUAACCAUUGUACGCUUUGGAAACUGGAGGAAUUGGGUGCAGAAGGGGAGAGUGGGAUUCCAUGGGUAGCGGUGAAAUGCGUAGAUAUGUGGAGGAAAACCGGUGGCGAAAGCGGCUCUCUGGUCUGUAACUGACGCUGAGGCUCGAAAGCGUGGGGAGCAAACAGG
rnacentral:rRNA from 1 species